CCCGGACCCGGUGAAAACCCGGGUGGCUCUUCCGGCCGCCGAUCCGCCGGACAACC
rfam:Martelella endophytica strain YC6887, complete genome.